CUGGACUCCAGCCUUGGCGACAGAGAGAGACUCCAUCUCAAAAAAAAAAAAAAAAAUCAAAAAGGAAAAGAAGCACUGAAGAAAUCCAUAACCGUUGGAGAAGCUUGAAUCAGUAGUUGAUAAUGUCCCUCCAAGAAAAGACCAGAUGUGAAGACCACCUGGAGGGAAAUGUCUACACAGCGACUCAUUUCUUCUACUAGAAGAUGUCAAAAGUAGAAGCUGCUUAGUCAUAGCAAGAUUGCUGUCACCAGUGAACAUGUCAACUGAGUCAUACAAGGAACGUCUAAAAUGGACUUCUCAGAAGUUGAAAAUGUUGCUUCUCUUGAUUAGUAGCGCAGGAAGGGGAGAAAUAGGUAUUCCUUGAUUAAUGGGCAAACACACCAUUUCCCAGAGACUCAGACAGUUGGAGAAACCCAUGAAUGAAUAAGUCAGAGAGGAAAAAAAAUAGUGCCGAUAUAAAGAACCGUUUAUUUUCUCCUUGUUUCCAUGAAGAGUGCCUUUUUGUUUGCAGAUCCUCACUACUGCAGCAACCCAGAGAAUAGAGGAAAUUAUGCCAAUAGCUAAAGCAAAACUUGAAGAUUUCUUUAAAGUACCUAAUUAUGGUUUUAAAAAAUUCUCCAUCUCGAUUUGCUGGAAGUUGAGACCCAGGUCUUUUGCAAGCUUGUGAAGUGAAAGAAAUUUCUAACAACCUUCCCUGGACCAAACCAUUCUCUCCAAUCUCCGUCCCUUCCUGUCUUUUCAUUGCUGGUCAUGCCUCCUUUGUGUACAUUCAGGCUCAUGAUUCUCUGAUUCUCUGCCAGAACAUACCUCUUCUCUCAAGGGCCUGCUAAAUGGCUUGAUACUCUGGCCAGUAAACAAUUUGAAACCCUCCAUUUGUAUGCUUAUGGACAAUUGGGAUUUCAGUUUAAAAAAUAAAGCAUAUUUUUAAAGUGAA
rnacentral:lncRNA from 1 species